GCCCUCGUAGCUCAGUCGGUAGAGCACCUGCAUGGUAAGCAGGUGGUCACCAGUUCAAGUCUGGUCGAGGGCUCCA
rnacentral:tRNA from 1 species